rnacentral:tmRNA from 1 species
GGGGCUGACAAAGCUUAGACGGAUUAUUAACAAUAUGCAUGCGAGUCGAUUCGUACCGUAAGUACUAUUCAUAAAUGCAGAUAAAACUGCUAGUAAGCACGUGGCUUUCAUGCCAGCUUACGCUUGGGCCUAGUUAAUAUUUAGGUCUGUCACCUCUGACGAGAUGCCAUAGUCUCUUGGUGAUAUCAUAUUCAUGGCAUUAAGGUGAAUUCGGCGACGUGAAUUUGCACGAAAAUUUAGUCAUGGCUUCGGCGGAGUUUUGUUUAUUCCAGCUUCUCGAGAUAGCCAAGAUAAAAGAAUAGACUAUGCUCGUAGAUUGCAUAUAUGGAGAUUUUUCGGACCCGGAGGCAGUAUCCGGCAGCUCCACCA